GAAGCUGGCUAGACAGUCGCCGUCCGCGCAAGUGGAGGGAGGAAAGUCCGGGCUGCGUAGAGCGGGAUGACGGCUAACGGCCGUACGCUGAAAUUUUUGUUAGUGAAAGCUAGCAAGAUAUAAAGCGCGGAAUAGGGCCACAGAGACGAGCGUAUUAAGUUACGGUGAAACGCGGUAACCUCCAUCUGCAGCAAGACCAAAUAGGCUGGCAUUUUUACGCAAGUAAAUAAGGCGUGGCUCGCGCUGCCAGCGGGUAGGUUGCUUGAGCGCACGAGUAAUUGUGCGCCUAGAUGAAUGACUGUCAGCCUUAGCAAUAAGGCCUACAGAACCCGGCUUAUCGGCCAGCUUCAAUU
rnacentral:RNase_P_RNA from 1 species